rnacentral:rRNA from 1 species
AACGAACGCUGGCGGCAGGCUUAACACAUGCAAGUCGAACGCCCCGCAAGGGGAGUGGCAGACGGGUGAGUAACGCGUGGGAAUCUACCCAGUUCUACGGAACAACUGAGGGAAACUUCAGCUAAUACCGUAUACGCCCUACGGGGGAAAGAUUUAUCGGAAUUGGAUGAGCCCGCGUUGGAUUAGCUAGUUGGUGAGGUAACGGCUCACCAAGGCGACGAUCCAUAGCUGGUAGGAGAGGAUGAUCAGCCACACUGGGACUGAAACACGGCCCAGAGUCCUACGGGAGGCAGCAGUGGGUAAUGUUGGACAAUGGGCGCAAGCCUGAUCCAGCCAUGCCGCGUGAGUGAUGAAGGCCUUAGGGUUGUAAAGCACUUUCAGUGGGGACGAUAAUGACGGUACCCACAGAAGAAGCCCCGGCUAACUUCGUGCCAGCCGCCGCGGUAAAAC